GCAAGAGAGCCUAGUCAAUGAAGAGGAAAAGAAGACAAGAAAACAAGAAGAAAGAAGGAAGAAGAGGCAAAAGAGGAGGAGGGGAUUUUUUUUCUGUCUAUACCUGAAGUGUCAUGAAUUUACUAAGGGUAUAUUUAAGCCUGAUAUAACGUACUUUAAGGUAUAUUUAAUGGUACAAGUGUGUAGCCUACUUUUGCCUGGAGUUGGAGACGGUAAAAUGCUCUCCGACUCCUUUAUUGUGGUGCUGUGUGGUUUGUUUACUGUGGUGCGAUGUGGGUCAUUUACUGUGGUGCGGUGUGGCUCGUUAACUGAGGUGAGGUAUGGUUCGUUUAUUGUAGUGCGGUAUGGUUCGUUUACUGUGGUGCGGUGUGGCUCGUUAAUUAAGGUGAGGUGUUGUUCAUUUAUUGUGGUGCGAUGUGGCGUUGCGGGCUUUACUUUCCCUACCACUGCACUAGACAAGGGUAAGGGGGAGGGGGUGGAGUCAAAUUUUUUUAUAUCCGACUCCACACCCAUGUUAGAGUGUAAGAGUAUUGAUCGAAUAUAUUUAAGGUGCUGGGGGAUACUGUGGUGCUCUUGUUGCGGCAACCCAUUCUGUUUCUGCAUAACCCGUACUGCUAAUGCAUAGCAACUCGUGUUUUUUUCUGCUGCCGCAACGACUCGUACUGCUAACGCAUAAUGACCUGUGCUGCUUCUGCUAUUGUAACAACUCUUACUGCAAUAACUUACUGCUGCUUCCAUUUAAAAACGUAUAAACGCAUAAACCCGCUGUGUUGCCAACUUGUCAACAACCCAACUAAUGUAUUUUCUGAUCAAAGAUCAAAGAGAGGAUUAGGCCUUCAGGGGACACCUCUUAAAUAAAAACGCGCCUGGGACUUUUACCUCAGAGGUGGUGUGGAAAAAAAGUCCAGUCACGAAAAUAAGUAUCUUAUACUUCAUGAAAGUGUCUCAGUCUUAUGAGAACACAAAGGUUGAGAGGGCUCAAACAUUCUGUUGUUUCCUGCAUAUGCUCCCAUGUUAGCAGUAAGGGUACUAAAUUCUGAUCUCUGUACAAAACAACCAAAUAAUAAGGAAAAGAAAGUUGAAUAAAAUGUUUACCUGCAUUCUACGUCAGCAGCGUAGACGUAACAAGGGUUGAAAAAAUGAGUUACUUAUUACAGCCGCUGGCCAACGUUUUGACCCCAGAGUCUUUGUGUUUGUCUCGGCGUCCUCUGCGCUACACUGCACAGAAUCUGGUUACUGUCCCUCAUGUGUUGUGUCAUUGAGGGAGUGUUUGGGUCAUUUUUAUGUUUUGAUGCCCCUUUCAUGGAUCUAAAUAAUGACAUCCACCUUAAAAUAAAUGCAUGCGUCUGUGGUCAUCCCAAAGCUGAAGGUUGGUAUCUACUCCACUGUUUUUCAUGUUUUCUCGGACAGUUCAUAUUAUUAGCAAAUGUUUUUACCCGUCCGCUGUGAUUGGCACGAAUUUCGCCUUCACUGGUAACCUGGUAACAUGUACUCCCAGAUCAUUCUCUGCCUCUGUGGUGGAUAGUGGAGUGUUUCCCAUGUGGUAUUGGUGUGCUGGAUAUCCCUUCACUGGUAGCCUGGUAACAUAUGUACUCCCAGAUCAUUCUCUGCCUCUGUGGUGGAUAGUGGAGUGCUUCCCACGUGGUACUGGUGUGCUGGAUAUCCCCUCCCAAGGUGCAGGACUAUAUAUUUUUCUUCACUGAAUUGUAGCAGCCACUUUUUGCUCCACUCCUGUAGCUUGGUGAUGUCUUCUUGUAGGAAAUCCACAGUGAAGGGUUAAAGCAAGUGAGAUUUACCUUCCCAUGCCCAGUGUAAAGAAGGGAAUCUGUAGUUGUUUGAAGGAAUAUUACCAGAUUGAUUAACUA